rnacentral:rRNA from 1 species
UACGGAGGGUGCGAGCGUUGUCCGGAAUCACUGGGCGUAAAGAGCGUGUAGGCGGCCCGGUAAGUCCGCUGUGAAAGUUGGGGGCUCAACCCUCGAAUGCCGGUGGAUACUGUCGGGCUAGAGUGCGGAAGAGGCGAGUGGAAUUCCUGGUGUAGCGGUGAAAUGCGCAGAUAUCAGGAGGAACACCAAUUGCGAAGGCAGCUCGCUGGGACGUAACUGACGCUGAGACGCGAAAGCGUGGGGAGCAAACAGG